rnacentral:rRNA from 1 species
ACCGAUAGCAGUGAGAAAUAUUGGACAAUGGAUGGAAAUCUGAUCCAGCCAUGCCGCGUGCAGGAAGACGGCCCUAUGGGUUGUAGCUUUUGUAUGGGAGCAAUAAGGUCUAUGCGUAGACUGAUGAGAGUACCAUACGAAUAAGCAUCGGCUAACUCCGUGCCAGCAGCCGCGGUAAUACGGGGGAUGCAGGUUAUCCGGAUUUAUUGGGUUUAAAGGGUGCGUAGGCGGUUUGAUAAGUCAGCGGUGAAAUAUUUCAGCUUAACUGAAAGGGUGCCGUUGAUACUGUCAGGCUUGAAUAUGGUUGCUGUGGGUGGAAUGUGUGGUGUAGCGGUGAAAUGCUUAGAUAUCACACCGAAUAUCGAUUGCGAAGGCAGCUCACAAAGCCAUUAAUUUGACGCUGAUGCACGAAAGUGUGGGGAUCAAACAGGAUUAGAUACCCUGUAGUCACACUGUAAACGAUGAUAACUCGCUGUCGGCGAUACACAGUCGUAGCCAAGCGAAAGCGAUAAGUUAUCCCCCUGGGGAGUACGACAGCAAGGUUGAAACUCAAAGGAUUGACGGGCCCGGCACAAGCGGAGGAACAUGUGGUUUAAUUCCAUGAUACCCGAGGACCUUACCCGGCUUCGAACGGUGCAGGAAUACGUCAGAGAUGAUGUAGCUAGCAAUAGUCUGUAUCGAGGUGCUGCAUGGUUGUCGUCAGCCCGGGCCGUGAGGGCGGGCUUUAUGGCAAAUAACAAGCCCAACCCUUGCGUUUAUUGCCCUUCAGGUAAUGCUGGGAACUCUAGCGAGACUGCCACCGUAAGGUGUGAGGAAGGGGGGGAUGACGUCAAAUCAGCACGGCCCUUACGUCCGGGGCGACACACGUGUUACAAUGGUAGGUACAGAGGGCAGCUACCCAGCAAUGGGGUGCGAAUCUCAAAAGCCUAUCUCAGUUCGGAUCGGAGUCUGCAACUCGACUCCGKGAAGUUGGAUUCGCUAGUAAUCGCGCAUCAGCCAUGGCGCGGUGAAUACGUUCCCGGGCCUUGUACACACCGCAUCC